rnacentral:misc_RNA from 1 species
UUAGAUUAUGUUUUGGAUUCAGACACAGACUCUACAGCAUAAAGGCGGCGCCGGAGCGCCGAAGCACGGCUUUAUUCCACGGGUUUUGAGGUUGAAGGCCGAAGCCAUUCGUUAAUGAUCCCUCCGCAGGUUCACCUACGGAGA